rnacentral:lncRNA from 12 species
AUGACUUCCAUUAUUUUGUAAUAAAAGGCUUAAAGCACAAUGUGAGCUUUUUUUAGAUGCUACGUUCCAAGUGAGUAGUGUGUUGUUAAUUUUUAUAUUAAUGCAGGGUGCCAGCAGAACUCCGUGCAGAAUCUAAAGAAGAAAAUCACUUUCCCACAGCUCUGAUACCUGGUGACCGAUUUUAGCUUAUUUAUUUUAUUUUAUUUUAUUUUAUUUUAUAUUUUAUUUUAUUUUUUGUCAUCUCCUAGAUGAAAUGAACAUCCUUUCCACAGCGAUGCAGUAUAGAUAUUUCCAACACAAGGACCCUUCUCCCCAGUGACAAGAGAGUUCCUUGCUAAACCAUAGUUCUGUCACCAGCACAUGCAUUGGGUACAGCUUCCUACCUUCCCCUGUGCAUCUUCCUGAGAGCUGGAGAUGACGAGAUCCUCUACUUGUAUUCCCCAGUGAAAAGCUGACAACACUCUAUUGUCUGCCUACUAAUGAGCUUUCUUGUAUGGAAGAUGAUAAAGCAAAAUCUAAUCACAUCUAUGUCCCCAAACACACUUCAGCCCAAGUGGAUUCAGCACAAAUAAAUUAUCGCGCUGUAAGGAUCCCGAGGGAAAAGUUGAUAAGCCAGAUCCCAUUCUCUCCACAUGUGUCUCAACAAAUAUAUCAUCUUAAGAAGAAUCUUAUCAGAUGGUAAGCACUUGGGAACUACCUAUUGUGAAUUCAGGGCAGCUGCCUUGGAACAGAAAAAGUCAUUUAUUUAUUUAUUUACUUAUUUAUUUAUUUUAAAUUUUGUUAUUAUUAUUAUUAUUAUUUGAAAAAGUCAUUUUUAAGCUGAUUUACAAGUGCUGAUAAUUCCCCCUAGAUUCAGAGCUGGCUUCCUUUUUUUUUUUUUUUUUUUGAAGACAGGGAUGGGGACAAAGGGAUGACCUAGAGUCAUCAUCCCCCUUA